rnacentral:rRNA from 1 species
GACGAACGCUGGCGGCGUGCCUAAUACAUGCAAGUAGAACGCAGUUGCGAACGGGUGAGUAACGCGUAGGUAACCUGCCUCAUAGCGGGGGAUAACCAUUGGAAACGAUAGCUAAUACCGCAUACUGUGAGAUGGACCUGCGUUGCAUUAGCUAGUUGGAGAGGUAAAGGCUCACCAAGGCGACGAUACAUAGACGACCUGAGAGGGUGUGCGGCGCCGCUGGGCCUGGGACAUGACCCAGACUCCAACGGUAGGCAGCAGUAGGGAAUCUUCGGCGAUGGACGUAAGUCUGACCAAGCAACGCGGCGUGAGUGAGGAAGGUUUUCGGAUCGUAAAGCUCUGUUGUUAGAGAAGCGGUAGCUAACCAGAAAGGGACGGCUAACUACGUGCCAGCAGCCGCGGUAAUAC